UACGUAGGGACCAAGCGUUGUCCGGAAUCAUUGGGCGUAAAGCGCGCGUAGGCGGCCCGAUAAGUCCGCUGUAAAAGUCAACGGCUCAACCGUUGAAAGCCGGUGGAUACUGUUGGGCUAGAGUUCGGAAGAGGCAAGUGGAAUUCCUGGUGUAGCGGUGGAAUGCGCAGAUAUCAGGAGGAACACCAAUAGCGAAGGCAGCUCGCUGGGACGUUACUGACACUGAGGCGCGAAAGCGUGGGGAGCGAACAGG
rnacentral:rRNA from 1 species